UAUUAAUUUCUUGAUUUUCUAUCAAGUCAAAUACUUUGAAAUAAAAUGGGAUGGAAGGAGUAUGCGGCAUAAAAGCUAGAAUGAGUCUAGCUAUCACUAUCUAUGUAAAAACGGGCUUAGCUCUUACAUUAAUUAGUUUGAUGUAAACAUAUGUUGCGGAUAAGUGUGUCCCUCUUCUGAGAUGAGAUUUGCCAAGAGGAGAGCCAAGUUUAUAUAGUUUACUGAGGAGUACGUAGGAGGAAACUAAGCAUGUUCAUGUACAAAGGCACUACUACAUGUGCUAUGCUAGUGCUGGUUUUCUGUGUUCUCCAUGAAUUCUUGGUGUGGACAUGCGGAAGCAGCAAGAACAUUCUUAAACUUCUCUACAAGUACUCAAGUGACGCAAAGUCUGGACGGCGUGGGCAGCAGCAGCCACCGCCGGAGCACCAGGGCAUCGCCUCGUGGGGGUUAUCCUGCCCCGGCAGCAAAUGUGAACGACCAUGUGCAUCACUAGUGCUGAAUUGCUAUUUUGUUAUGGACUUAAUUGUCAUUUGGUUACAAUAUGGAGACUUUGUAAAAAAAUAAUUUGUGUUUAUGAGAUUUCAAGUAUGAAGAAAUGAAGGUAAAAUUUAACUUA